rnacentral:rRNA from 1 species
UGGGGAAUAUUGCACAAUGGGCGCAAGCCUGAUGCAGCGACGCCGCGUGGGGGAUGACGGCCUUCGGGUUGUAAACCUCUUUCAGCAGGGACGAAGCGAAAGUGACGGUACCUGCAGAAGAAGCACCGGCCAACUACGUGCCAGCAGCCGCGGUAAUACGUAGGGUGCGAGCGUUGUCCGGAAUUACUGGGCGUAAAGAGCUCGUAGGUGGUUUGUCGCGUUGUUCGUGAAAAACCGGGGGCUUAACCCUCGGCGUGCGGGCGAUACGGGCAGACUAGAGUACUGCAGGGGAGACUGGAAUUCCUGGUGUAGCGGUGGAAUGCGCAGAUAUCAGGAGGAACACCGGUGGCGAAGGCGGGUCUCUGGGCAGUAACUGACGCUGAGGAGCGAAAGCGUGGGGAGCGAACAGGAUUAGAUACCCUGGUAGUCCACGCCGUAAACGGUGGGUACUAGGUGUGGGUUUCCUUCCUUGGGAUCCGUGCCGUAGCUAACGCAUUAAGUACCCCGCCUGGGGAGUACGGCCGCAAGGCUAAAACUCAAAUGAAUUGAC